AUUGAACGCUGGCGGCAGGCCUAACACAUGCAAGUCGAGCGGGGUUUUCGGACCUAGCGGCGGACGGGUGAGUAAUGCGUAGGAAGCUGCCCGAUAGAGGGGGAUACCAGUUGGAAACGACUGUUAAUACCGCAUAAUGUCUACGGACCAAAGUGUGGGACCUUCGGGCCACAUGCUAUCGGAGGCGCCUACGUGGGAUUAGCUAGUUGGUGAGGUAAUGGCUCACCAAGGCGACGAUCUCUAGCUGGUUUGAGAGGAUGAUCAACCACACUGGAACUGAGACACGGUCCAGACUCCUACGGGAGGCAGCAGUGGGGAAUAUUGGACAAUGGGCGCAAGCCUGAUCCAGCCAUGCCGCGUGUGUGAAGAAGGCCUUCGGGUUGUAAAGCACUUUCAGCGAGGAGGAAGGGUGGUGUGUUAAUAGCACAUCAUUUUGACGUUACUCGCAGAAGAAGCACCGGCUAACUCUGUGCCAGCCGCCGCAGUAAAAC
rnacentral:rRNA from 1 species